ensembl:lncRNA
UUGGCCAGUGGCUCUGAAGACAUCAUCAUUAGGUGACCUGACUGAGUGGAGUGGGAGCACAAGCAGACAUGUUUCCAUGUGACCCCUCGAAGCAUGUAAAUGGAGGCGCUGUCACCCAGGAAGCGACCACUCCCAUCAGAUAAAACCGUUCCAUCGCAGGAUAAAGGAGUUGUAAAGUUGGCACCAUGAUGAUUUGGUCUCUCAACCCUCCCAAGCUUCUGAAGCUUGAAGUUUAAGAGCCGGGCCAUUUGAUUAACUGGAAUGGACACCGAAGUGAGGCUGGGCGUUUUAUGGAACAGUACAGACACAUACAUCCACCACGCUCGUCUCUGAUGAAGCCUUCUUUGGAGCCUACUAUUGGCAGCCCCCUAUAACCACUCAGGCAAAUUGGGUCAUUGUGUCUGGCGUUGUCACAUCACACUGCAGGAAGAAACACAACCAACAUAAUGACAUUGUGCAGUUACUGCUCAUGCUGUCUCCUGUCGGCAUUUGGAUAGGGACUAUUAAAUACACUACGUACUUACUAUUGGAGCAUUGGCAAGGCAAAGUUUAAAUUACCAACAUAAUUCUGUGGGCAUAAGCGUCUAAAGUCUAAUAUUAAAAUGUUUGUUCAGAUGAAAAAAGGCUUUGUUUUUUGAUAAACAUGUGCAGAACACUUUGGAGCCGGAGGAUUAAAAUUCUGUGCUGAUUUGUUUUCCCAGUAAGCUCCAUCCAUGUCUUCCUCUCAAAGUAUCAAAGCGCACGCUUCUUUGAAUUUGUUUGUUCCACAGUUACUCAAUGAUUGUAACCUUGGAAACAAGAUGCAUUAAUGAAGGUGGAAAAUGAAAUGGGACUUUAAUUUGUUUCAGUGUUCAUAGCUAGGUGAAAUGGAUUAGCUUUGAUUGAGGUGCGAGAUGAAGAAGGAAAGCGCUGACAUGACACUUGUAUUUGUCAUCAUGUCAUUUCAAGGAGGAUGCUGCAGCAAUUAUGAAUACGGGUACACAGCAAUUAAAAGCGGUAGUAUUCAUUAAUUAUUUUCAUAUUCAUUUUUCAGUGGCCGUUGAAAUGAUUGCCAC